rnacentral:piRNA from 1 species
ACCAUACAAGUGCCUUGAGUGUGGGAA